AUUGAACGCUGGCGGAAUGCUUUACACAUGCAAGUCGAGCGGCAGCACGGGGGCAACCCUGGUGGCGAGCGGCGAACGGGUGAGUAACACAUCGGAACGUACCCUGUCGUGGGGGAUAACGAGUCGAAAGAUUCGCUAAUACCGCAUACGACCCCGGGGGUGAAAGCGGGGGAUCGCAAGACCUCGCGCGACUGGAGCGGCCGAUGGCGGAUUAGCUAGUUGGUGGGGUAAAGGCCCACCAAGGCGACGAUCCGUAGCGGGUCUGAGAGGACGGCCCGCCACACUGGGACUGAGACACGGCCCAGACUCCUACGGGAGGCAGCAGUGGGGGAAUUUUGGACAAUGGGGGGCAACCCCUGAUCCAGCCAUUCCGCGUGAGUGAAGAAGGCCUCGGUUGUAAGCUCUUCGGUCAGGAACGAAAAGGACUCUCUCUAACAUAGGGGUCGAA
rnacentral:rRNA from 1 species